UUAAGCGACUAAGCGUACACGGUGGAUGCCCUGGCAGUCAGAGGCGAUGAAGGACGUGCUAAUCUGCGAUAAGCGUCGGUAAGGUGAUAUGAACCGUUAUAACCGGCGAUUUCCGAAUGGGGAAACCCAGUGUGUUUCGACACACUAUCAUUAACUGAAUCCAUAGGUUAAUGAGGCGAACCGGGGGAACUGAAACAUCUAAGUACCCCGAGGAAAAGAAAUCAACCGAGAUUCCCCCAGUAGCGGCGAGCGAACGGGGAGGAGCCCAGAGCCUGAAUCAGUGUGUGUGUUAGUGGAAGCGUCUGGAAAGGCGCGCGAUACAGGGUGACAGCCCCGUACACAAAAAUGCACAUGCUGUGAGCUCGAUGAGUAGGGCGGGACACGUGGUAUCCUGUCUGAAUAUGGGGGGACCAUCCUCCAAGGCUAAAUACUCCUGACUGACCGAUAGUGAACCAGUACCGUGAGGGAAAGGCGAAAAGAACCCCGGCGAGGGGAGUGAAAAAGAACCUGAAACCGUGUACGUACAAGCAGUGGGAGCACGCUUAGGCGUGUGACUGCGUACCUUUUGUAUAAUGGGUCAGCGACUUAUAUUCUGUAGCAAGGUUAACCGAAUAGGGGAGCCGAAGGGAAACCGAGUCUUAACUGGGCGUUAAGUUGCAGGGUAUAGACCCGAAACCCGGUGAUCUAGCCAUGGGCAGGUUGAAGGUUGGGUAACACUAACUGGAGGACCGAACCGACUAAUGUUGAAAAAUUAGCGGAUGACUUGUGGCUGGGGGUGAAAGGCCAAUCAAACCGGGAGAUAGCUGGUUCUCCCCGAAAGCUAUUUAGGUAGCGCCUCGUGAANNNNNNNNNNNNNNNNNNNNNNNNNNNNNNNNNNNNNNNNNNNNNNNNNNNNNNUCAUCUCCGGGGGUAGAGCACUGUUUCGGCAAGGGGGUCAUCCCGACUUACCAACCCGAUGCAAACUGCGAAUACCGGAGAAUGUUAUCACGGGAGACACACGGCGGGUGCUAACGUCCGUCGUGAAGAGGGAAACAACCCAGACCGCCAGCUAAGGUCCCAAAGUCAUGGUUAAGUGGGAAACGAUGUGGGAAGGCCCAGACAGCCAGGAUGUUGGCUUAGAAGCAGCCAUCAUUUAAAGAAAGCGUAAUAGCUCACUGGUCGAGUCGGCCUGCGCGGAAGAUGUAACGGGGCUAAACCAUGCACCGAAGCUGCGGCAGCGACGCUGAUGCGUUGUUGGGUAGGGGAGCGUUCUGUAAGCCUGCGAAGGUGUGCUGUGAGGCAUGCUGGAGGUAUCAGAAGUGCGAAUGCUGACAUAAGUAACGAUAAAGCGGGUGAAAAGCCCGCUCGCCGGAAGACCAAGGGUUCCUGUCCAACGUUAAUCGGGGCAGGGUGAGUCGACCCCUAAGGCGAGGCCGAAAGGCGUAGUCGAUGGGAAACAGGUUAAUAUUCCUGUACUUGGUGUUACUGCGAAGGGGGGACGGAGAAGGCUAUGUUGGCCGGGCGACGGUUGUCCCGGUUUAAGCGUGUAGGCUGGUUUUCCAGGCAAAUCCGGAAAAUCAAGGCUGAGGCGUGAUGACGAGGCACUACGGUGCUGAAGCAACAAAUGCCCUGCUUCCAGGAAAAGCCUCUAAGCAUCAGGUAACAUCAAAUCGUACCCCAAACCGACACAGGUGGUCAGGUAGAGAAUACCAAGGCGCUUGAGAGAACUCGGGUGAAGGAACUAGGCAAAAUGGUGCCGUAACUUCGGGAGAAGGCACGCUGAUAUGUAGGUGAGGUCCCUCGCGGAUGGAGCUGAAAUCAGUCGAAGAUACCAGCUGGCUGCAACUGUUUAUUAAAAACACAGCACUGUGCAAACACGAAAGUGGACGUAUACGGUGUGACGCCUGCCCGGUGCCGGAAGGUUAAUUGAUGGGGUNNNNNNNNNNNNNNNNNNNNNNNNNNNNNNNNNNNNNNNNNNNNNNNNNNNNNNNNNNNNNNNNNNNNNNNNNAGCGCAAGCGAAGCUCUUGAUCGAAGCCCCGGUAAACGGCGGCCGUAACUAUAACGGUCCUAAGGUAGCGAAAUUCCUUGUCGGGUAAGUUCCGACCUGCACGAAUGGCGUAAUGAUGGCCAGGCUGUCUCCACCCGAGACUCAGUGAAAUUGAACUCGCUGUGAAGAUGCAGUGUACCCGCGGCAAGACGGAAAGACCCCGUGAACCUUUACUAUAGCUUGACACUGAACAUUGAGCCUUGAUGUGUAGGAUAGGUGGGAGGCUUUGAAGUGUGGACGCCAGUCUGCAUGGAGCCGACCUUGAAAUACCACCCUUUAAUGUUUGAUGUUCUAACGUGGACCCGUAAUCCGGGUUGCGGACAGUGUCUGGUGGGUAGUUUGACUGGGGCGGUCUCCUCCUAAAGAGUAACGGAGGAGCACGAAGGUUGGCUAAUCCUGGUCGGACAUCAGGAGGUUAGUGCAAUGGCAUAAGCCAGCUUGACUGCGAGCGUGACGGCGCGAGCAGGUGCGAAAGCAGGUCAUAGUGAUCCGGUGGUUCUGAAUGGAAGGGCCAUCGCUCAACGGAUAAAAGGUACUCCGGGGAUAACAGGCUGAUACCGCCCAAGAGUUCAUAUCGACGGUGGUGUUUGGCACCUCGAUGUCGGCUCAUCACAUCCUGGGGCUGAAGUAGGUCCCAAGGGUAUGGCUGUUCGCCAUUUAAAGUGGUACGCGAGCUGGGUUUAGAACGUCGUGAGACAGUUCGGUCCCUAUCUGCCGUGGGCGCUGGAGAACUGAGGGGGGCUGCUCCUAGUACGAGAGGACCGGAGUGGACGCAUCACUGGUGUUCGGGUUGUCAUGCCAAUGGCACUGCCCGGUAGCUAAAUGCGGAAGAGAUAAGUGCUGAAAGCAUCUAAGCACGAAACUUGCCCCGAGAUGAGUUCUCCCUGACUCCUUGAGAGUCCUGAAGGAACGUUGAAGACGACGACGUUGAUAGGCCGGGUGUGUAAGCGCAGCGAUGCGUUGAGCUAACCGGUACUAAUGAACCGUGAGGCUUAACCUU
rnacentral:rRNA from 1 species